AGUGAACGCUGGCGGUAGGCCUAACACAUGCAAGUCGAACGGCAGCACAGUAAGAGCUUGCUCUUACGGGUGGCGAGUGGCGGGCGGGUGAGGAAUACAUCGGUAUCUACUUUUUCUUGGGUGAUAACGUAGGGACACUUACGCUAAUAGCGCAUACGACCUACGGGUGAAAGCAUGGGAUCUUCCGACCUUGCGCGAUUGAAUGAGCCAAUGUCGGAUUAGCUAGUUGGCGGGGUAAAGGCCCACCAAGGCGACGAUCCGUAGCUGGUCUGAGAGGAUGAUCAGUCACACUGGAACUGAGACACGGUCCAGACUCCUACGGGAGGCAGCAGUGGGGAAUAUUGGACAAAGGGCGCAAGCCUGAUCCAGCCAUGCCGCGUGGGUGAAGAAGGCCUUCGGGUUGUAAAGCACUUUUGUUGGGAAAGAAAAGCAGCAGGUUAAUACCCCGCUGUUCUGACGGUACCAAAAGAAUAAGCACCGGCUAACUUCGUG
rnacentral:rRNA from 1 species